CGCUGAGCAGGACGCGCGGAGCCAUGCCGGGCUGGAAGAGGAACAUCCCCAUCUGCCUGCAAGCCGAGCAGGAGCGGGGUACCUGUUGUGGACUGAACACCAAUGAUAGAAGCUGUGGUACCUACUGCUGCAAGCUAUUUUACGUGGACUGUAGGGACUUCUGUGCCUUGCUUGGUUCUCCUCCAGUUGGCAAGACUCAUAACAUUCUAAUCUACUUUAGGAAAAGUCAGGAUGAUUUACAGCUCAGAGCACUUGGGUUGUAACAGUGCUGUUGCAGCAAUGAAAACCUUAAACAGCUGAGUCAACGUACCCAGCCAAAGGGGAGUAGCAGUUGUCUAACGCCAUCCACUGCUUCGUGUCUUACACUGUGGAGCCAUGGAAUAUGCAGACACACUAGCUAAUGCACACUAAAUUUUCCUGCUUUAUUUAGCACAGAUUUUUAAAAGGGUUUAAAAUCCUGUUGUGUUUUUGCUGUUAAGAAAUACAUUUUCUAAAAUGGCAGCAGUGAUGCAGCAAAACUUCCAGGCAAGGUAGCUUUUGUGGGGUGUUCAUCUUGCUUUUCUGCAUUCCCUUUCUCAUUAACGAAUCCAGAAUAACUCCGUUUAUUUGGAUGAACUUUACAUUACCUGGUGUGACUUGAGAUCCCUUUUUACUUGUAUGUAAUUAACAUAAAACCUCAAACUGAAAGUAUACAAUGGAGUGUCUCAUCACAAAAGCCAGCUAACUGUAAAAGCUGAUAAUGUUUGUAAAGCACGUUAAGCUCCCUAGGUGAAAGGUACCAUAGAAAUGCAAAGUAUUAAGUCAGUAGUUUAAUUAUAAGAUAAGAAGUAAUUGAAAUUUUCCAGCACAGUUGCAUGUAGAAGACAGUCUGGUGAUUUGCUUUGUAAUAUUUAGGUCAGUGAAUUGAGAUGUUUUUCUAAACCCUUUAUGAAUAUUCUCUCGUUUAAGUGCAUUGCUCGAAGGUGUCUGAUACAUUUAUUUGGCUGGCUGAUGCUGCAGUUUAAAAAUACCACAUUUCAAGUAGGCAGAGAAGAGCUGUAUAGAAACCUUUGAAAUAGCCAACCUUCAUCCUUCAAAAUGACAUUUAUUGUGCUAUAAUAAUUGUAGAAGUACUGAAUUUGCUUCAAUUGAUUUUUUUUUGAAUAGUAUACUGCUCGUUUAAUACACAAUGCUCCUAGAAUUUUAAUCUCCGUGUCCCUCUUGUGGUUCAUGAUUUAGUGCAGAUUUCCCCGGAGAUACUUUUCCUUGCCGUAUGUAUAUCUA
rnacentral:lncRNA from 1 species